rnacentral:lncRNA from 10 species
GAAGUGAGCUGCCAUGUACUAGGCCACGUGGCAAGGGCCUGGUUGGGGACCUCCAGGGGUUGAGAGCAUCCUCUGGACAACAUGGAAAAAGAAAAUGAAAAUGGUGACCUCAGCCCUAUAGCUAGAAGGAAUUGAAUCCUGUCAACAACGAUACUCAUCACUCACUGCAGAUGUUACUUUAAGACAUUCUGGAGCAGCGUCAUGUGCAGGAGAAAAUAGUAUCAUCUCAGCCUUCUAUGAAAUCAAGGCAAUAUUCAUGUGAAAGUAUAUUCCAAACCCAGAACCUGAGCACAGAUUGGGACUGAGAAACACUUGUCUAGAUUGUCAGGCAAUCUGUAACAUCAGCAGUGGAUGGAAAGAAGGAGAAAGAUGAGUUUUAUGGACGCUAACCCAUCUAUAUGGCUUUGGAAAAUAA